GGGACGUGUAUGCCGCCCACCAACGUUUAGAGCUGGGUCCCCAAGGACGGCAUAACACGCCCGCCGUCCUUAUGGGGUUAAUAAUAAUCUUUUACACUCCCACACACAAUCAUACUCGGCCAACUCUACAAACGAUCACAUGGAAACAACUCCAUACACUAUCACGCUUGGAUAGCUUUACGCGUAAUCACAUUCAGCUAUCACACUUUGCCAACCAAAAUUGCCUAUAACUAUGCUAACCUUUUUUUUCUCAAUAUAUAUUAUUGAUAUAUUGGCAAUUUACAUCAUAAGCCCAGUUUAGUCCUGG